ensembl:ncRNA asRNA:CR46144 antisense RNA:CR46144
AGUUUGGGAUGGCAUUUUAAGGGAAAGACAAGGAGAGACAGAUAGAUAGACAGGCAGAUUAGGCAUUAGGCAGGGAUUUAGUGACAAGGCCAGGGGAAAAUGUAAAGUCAAAUCACAGGGAUCAGCACAUUUUACCCAGCAAUCGGACAGGAGUUUGUACAAAUGGACUUGUAAGAGCUGUCGACAUACCUCCUCCUUCCUGCUGUCUCUCCUUUUGUAACAUGUUGGCUGCAUAGCAAUCCGACUUUCGAUUCCCGUGCAUCAUCUGUCCGUCGGCUGGAAUCGUUUCAUAGCCAUGAUCCUUGGCUGAAUAGCUGUUGCUCCGAACGCGACCCUUCUGCGCAUCCACCAACAAAGCCGCAGCACUGUCCAGCGGACUGACCCCCAAUCCAUCUUGCUGCUGUUUCCUUGCCAGAAUAGGUGAGCUGUUUUGGGAGGACGGCGAGUUUCUCGAGAAUUUGUGCUUUUUCAUCACCUACGGUUAUUAAUGGUGAGUCAGAGGUACUAUGUGGUACUGGCAGACAUUCUUACCUUAGCGUACAUGCCCUCAAUGUUUUUGUUGCCCUCGCCUUCCUUGGAGGGACUUAGACUUUUGCUAUGCUUGCGCUGUGGCGACGCCUCUCCAGAUUCCGCCUCGUGUCCUUCCGCGCCCGCUUCGAUCACUGAUAUGACCGAAUUCCGCCCAGACGCUAGGUUGCUAAUACUACCGGCCUGCAGAUGGUGCGCCUGGCCCACAAUUGCCUUGGGCGUCGGUGGUAGUGGUGAAUUCGCCUGACGUUUCUCAGGUUUGGGUGAACCCAAAUUGCAGACAGACGAGCUAUUGUUCGAUGAGGAUGACGCCUGACGCGAGUGCAUUUGGGCUCGCAAACUGUCCACAGGCGGUGGAACAGGCAUAGCAUGAUCAGCACCACUGCUGCUGGUGGGUCGGACGGCGGAUGUACUGGCGGUCGGAAGACUGCUGCUGUUAUUGAUCUCGACAGCCACCACUAUGGGAUUGGCCUGCAUAGGCUGGAUUUGCGCGUACGUCUCCGAUCCGCUAGUGU